GCUUAGCCCUAAACAUAGACAGCAAAUCACACAAUACUGUCCGCCAGAGAACUACAAGUGAAAAACUAGAAACUCUAAGGACUUGGCGGUGCCCCAUACCGACCUAGAGGAGCCUGUCCUAUAAUCGAUAAUCCACGUUGUACCUCACCAUUUCUUGAAACUCAGCCUAUAUACCGCCGUCGCAAGCCUACCUUAUGAAAGAAACAAAGUAGACAAAACAGUUAAUAACUAAAACGUCAGGUCAAGGUGUAGCACAUGAAAUGGAAGAGAUGGGCUACAUUUUCUACUACAGAAUACACGAACAGCACAGUGAAACCCGUGCUCAAAGGCGGAUUUAGCAGUAAGACGAACAAGAAAAUUUAUCUUAACCCCGCUCUGGGGCGCGC
rnacentral:rRNA from 1 species